CGUAACGGGCAGACCGCGACGGGGGGAAACGGUGAUAAUCUGAAGGGAGACAUAAGAACCAAAGGAGGAUGCGGGCGCGGCGCGCGCCGCGGGAAGGCCGCGGCUGCGCUCGGUGCGGGCCGCGUCCGGCGGCGCCCGCUGCAAAGCGGAUGUCUGCGACUCCGAGCGUGGCUGCGCGGGUGAGACGGGAGAUUCGGUCAUGGGCAAGAGCGCAUCCAGCCGGGAGCGGGCAGGCGUCCGUGCCAAACGGGAAACUUGCCUCUGGCAACGGAGGAGCAGCCAGAGGUUGUCGCAGGAGUGGUCUUCGGCCCAGAGAAGCCCCACAGAGCCAUAUAGGUGUGGAGGAGGCGUAGUGGUUGUCUUUUCUCCUGAAAGUGUUGAUUUAAGUCUCGUGCCACUGGUGCCACUGAACUAAUACUGAUUUCACAAAAAAUGUAACAGUAAACACGCCUAACAAUGGUCUUCCUUGAUUAGGUAGCAAACAUAAGCUGGACCUUUUAAAACUGUCAAGAAAACAAAAUGUUUUAAAGAUAAGCUACUUUCUGUGGUGUAAGCUUGCAAAUGAACACUCAGAACUGAUGUAUCAGGAUGGUUGAUACAUAAGCAGACAUGUCACUUGAGUAGAAAAAUAGGAAUUUUUUAAAGGAGGCAAAAAAAAGGAUGAGAUGUCAUAUACUGCAACAAUCGACAUUACACAUUUGCACAAGAUGUAAUAAAUUAUAGUGUAGACAGAUUGAAAAAUUAACCUAGAUAUCUAUGUGCUUGCUAUUUAAGAAAACAGCUUUCUUCUGUAUUUCUAAUUGUCAAGCAACAGUUUCAGACCAGCCUUUUUCAAGGAAAAUGUUCUAUUUCUUACUUUCCAUAUCCAUGCAUCGAAUAAGUAUAUGUGUUUGUAUCUUUCCAGGAAGCUUUUCACUACUUAAACAAUUCAGAAAUAAAUAAAUCAUGGUAUUCAGAUGAAA